rnacentral:rRNA from 1 species
CCCUUAGAUGUUCUGGGCCGCACGCGCGCUACACUGAUGCAUUCAACGAGCCUAGCCUUGACCGAGAGGUCCGGGUAAUCUUUGAAACUGCAUCGUGAUGGGGCUAGAUUAUUGCAAUUAUUAAUCUUCAACGAGGAAUGCCUAGUAAGCGUGAUUCAUCAAAUCGCGUUGAUUACGUCCCUGCCCUUUGUACACACCGCCCGUCGCUCCUACCGAUUAAGUGUGUUGGUGAGGAGUUUGGAUUGGCCUCGGAAGGUGGUUCGCCACCGUCCGUAGCUGAGAAGUUCUCCAAACCGCCCCACUUAGAGGAAGGAGAAGUCGUAACA